rnacentral:lncRNA from 12 species
UCUGUUUUUGUCCUGACCUUUUUUAAAAUGCACAUAUAUAUACAUAUGUAAUUGUGGUUUAAAAAAUAAACGGGAUCACAUUAUAUUAUUAUUCUAUAAUUUGAUUUUUUUCGAUUGACAAUAUGCUUCUGAGAUCUUUCUAAAUCUCAAUGUAUCUUUCUCACAUCCUUUUAAAGAAUAUGCUAUAAUUUUCUAACAAUUCCCUAAUUGAGGAAUAGCUAAAUUAUUUCCAAUUCUUUCUUUUGAGUAAAAGAUAUGUUUCUUUUUUUUUUUUAAGAUAUCUGUUUCUUUGUCUGCACGUGUGUGCGUGUGAGUGCAUGGCGUAUGCAUGUGUGCAUGUGUGUUCACAUGUGCAUGCUCAGUACCCCCUCUUCUCUUCUACUCAAACAGAAACCCGUCCUUGGGAGCCACCCCAACCGCAUCCCAUGAGGUGGGACCACAGCCCUGGCCUCAGAGGUAACGGAUGUGGCUUCCUGGGAUGAAGUCCUGAGUGAGACCUGGAGUAUGGGAGUGACGGCCACAAGAAUGCUACAACUGGCUGGUUGCCUCUGGCUCUUCAGGGAGGUUUCCAGAGAGAGCUUGAUGAGAUCAGGGCUUUAAAAUCUCAGCGCGAGACAGUCACAGGAUUGAAGAGCUCCAGCCACAUCCCUAAAACAACCUCUUUUCCUUUGUAGCCACGGGCUGAGGUAGCUGAAAAUAAGACUCCAGAUUUGAUCAUGGGGUUGCAGAAUCCCAGCACAAAUUGAAUGAACAGCCAUGACAGAUGUGUUGCAUAAAUGUUGAGGCACUGAUUGAAAAGGAAAGGAAUACUGAGAAUUGGAACGGGGCAUCUUAUUGAACUCAGAAGAGCUGUCUGAAAACAGCUGGGUCUCCCUGUCUACAGAGACACAUUCUUCCCUUCUUCGAAACCCUGUAGCAACCUCCCAUGAGCAAGUUUCCUUGCAAGAGGGUGCUAUCUUCAGAGCCUGGUAUGCUGCAGGAAACAAGUCCAAAAUUCGACCCAGGAGGAGCCUGGGGAAGGGACAAGCCAUGGCCCAGAACGGAAGAUGAGAAGAUGAACAUCCUUGUGCUAUGGUCUCAGUUGCAGGAUGGCUUUGGGGUAAGAGGAAGGAGUUUCUGAAUCACAAAGCAAGUAGAAUUUAUGCAUAUGAGCUUUUGCUAGGUGGUAAACAUUUCAGAAUUACUCUGAAAAUCACACUGUGAUGGGGACAAGAGUUAUUGUUGUUUUGUAUUCUUCCUUCUAUCCCAGGCUACCCCCAAAAGAGCACAGGUCCUCCUUUUCCUGUUCCUCCAUGCCAGUCACCUUCAAAUGAUUUGAGUUGCACAGCUCGCCAAAAACUAUUUUUUUGAGUACAGCACCCCCAAUAUAUGUUUGUUUAUGUAUAAAUUAUAUACAUAUCCUAAA